CUCCUCUUCCCGCCCAGCACGAUGUGCCUUUCUGAUCAACCAUCCAGGCUGUCUUGGGCUGGAAAUUUGUUUUACUCUGUCUUUUUGUGGGUUCUGUUGCUUUAGAAUUUGUUUAGAGCCAUUUUUUAUAGGUAUUUGAAGGGUUUGGGGGAGAGCUCAAGCUAGUCACUGCUUUCACUCUGCGAUCUUGGCUCCACCCCCUGUUUACUAGUUCUAAAUCCUAUGGUCCUUAUACUCCUAGAAUCAUCUCAAAGAGAUCUAUCUCUAACCUGUUCCUCCAGACUGACUGCCAACAAUUUGUCCUAACCCAUGCCCAGCCUGACUUUGACUGCUACCUUUUUCGUGGCCCAGACAUGCCACCUACUUUUCUGAUGAGAUUCUUAACAAAUUGCCAAGUCUGUGGUAGAGGAACCACUACCAUUGCCAAGAUGUGUAAACAAGAUCCAGUGUGCUCUGUGAAAAUGAAGUGCCUUCCUGUCUUGGGGACAACUCAGCCUACCCAGCUCUCUGGAGAAACAGAGCCAGAAAGCCCCAUCUUUGAAUUAUGGUACAGAGUACCUGCAGACUUAUUUUUAGGGUAUUCUCAAUGUGAACAGCCUUUUAGAUUCCAAGUGAAUACUGGAUUAAAAAUCUCUCACCCAUUAAAGGAUUAUAUUUUGUCUUUCUUUUUUUUAUCCCCGACGCUAGAUGAAGUGCCUGGCACACAGUGAGUGCUUAAUAAGUAUGACUGAAUGACUCUCAUGUUCAAUUGUUUAUAUAGGCACAUGAUAGGAAGAUGGCAUUAAGGAAGCAAAUGCCUAGUACCAUACACUUUAUCUUAUAUGAGGACCCAUGACUGACAUUCAGAUUGUACUUUCAGGUUUUCAAAGUGCUUACACCGAUGAAUCUCAG
rnacentral:lncRNA from 1 species